rnacentral:lncRNA from 1 species
GAGGUCCGAAUGUGAUACAGGCUUGAGGUACGCCUUACAGACUUACCUAUCUAUGUAUCUUAGUUACAAGAGCAUCAAGGUAUGAAUGUGAUACACUACCACCUAUUUUUACUCGUAUGGACCAAAUCAUCAAUGUUAAAAUUCUGAUGUCCACCUAAAAGUAACUGUAGGUUAUUCGCUCAGAAUUGUCGAUUGCCGCUGACCACUUCUUAGAUUUCUAUUAACCUGAGGACCAGAACAAGCAGGUUCAUGUGCAAGUAUAUAGUUUAUAUUUGAAGAGUUAGCUUCAGACAACGCACGAUCUAUGCAAAAUCCAUCAUCUCAUGCUUGCAUAACAAGACCGAUGGUAAUUUGUCUACUACUCUACUUACUGCAGUUUACAAAUUCUUUUAUGGCUUCAGUUCCCACGCCGCUGCACGUGCAGGUCUCUGUUUGCUCAGUCCUCUUGCCGCGACACCAUCACCAAGUCACUCAGAACCCACCACCGCCACAAACACCCCAUACCGUCACGCGUGACGGCCGCAGCAUCACAACUUCACGGUAAAUCAUUAAAAUUUCAAAACACCAGUCAAUUCAUGUUCAAGUCGAGAACUAAUAAAUGUAGACGACCAUCCAAAAAAAGGAAGUGAAAAAACCUUCCAAAAGCAAGGAGUGUCUUUCUAUAAAAAAAAGCAAGGAGUGUCAACAUUUGAAACAAAAUAUAUUUUUGUACAGAAGUAAUUUACAUCUAUGGAAGCAAUUUUUUGUUCAUCACUAAUCUGUAUCAAUAUGUGUUGUGUUCUCUUUCAGAGAAGUGAACUAUGAAAUCCCUCCUCAUUCCAAACAAUGAAACUAUGAGGCUGAAAGUACAAAUUUCAUACGACAUGACUGACUUAGAGAAAAAAUGGGCGUAUUUGGAGCCGGAUGAAAAUAUGGGCAGAUUUAGAGCAGUGUGAAGACGGCGCACGCUGGUGUUGCAAUGACCAAAAGUGUCGAAGUGAAAGAAGAGAUGGAAUGACAAUGACACAACCUUGUAGUGUGAUUCUUGUAUGUAUGUUUGAGGUCCGUAGGAAAAAAAUGUAUUAGUGAGAUAAAGUGACGGAGAUAUGCAUCUUAGGCGGAGAUGGAAGCAGAGCCCAAAGAUAAACGAAACAUUAUUAGUUUGUGAAUGAACUCGUGGUGGAAAGAAUGUUUUCAUGUUCAUAUGCCACAUUUUCUUACUAUUUCUACUAAGGUAAGGAGCCUUGUAUAUGCCAUAUUUUUAACAUAUGUAGUAGAGCGAGACAACAAAACAAUGACAUAGAAGCCACAUAAAGAAUCAAGGGGCAGUAGAUUGAGAGUAUGGUUGAUGUAUGGAC